rnacentral:rRNA from 1 species
CACGACUACGAGUUUGAUCAUGGCUCAGAACGAACGCUGGCGGCAUGCCUAACACAUGCAAGUCGAACGAAGGCUUCGGCCUUAGUGGCGCACGGGUGCGUAACGCGUGGGAAUCUGCCCCUCGGUUCGGAAUAACAGUUAGAAAUGACUGCUAAUACCGGAUGAUGACGAAAGUCCAAAGAUUUAUCGCCGAGGGAUGAGCCCGCGUAGGAUUAGCUUGUUGGUGGGGUAAUGGCCCACCAAGGCGACGAUCCUUAGCUGGUCUGAGAGGAUGAUCAGCCACACUGGGACUGAGACACGGCCCAGACUCCUACGGGAGGCAGCAGUGGGGAAUAUUGGACAAUGGGCGAAAGCCUGAUCCAGCAAUGCCGCGUGAGUGAUGAAGGCCUUAGGGUUGUAAAGCUCUUUUACCAGGGAUGAUAAUGACAGUACCUGGAGAAUAAGCUCCGGCUAACUCCGUG